UUUGGUUUUCGUAUCCCUCGAUGGAGGUGGAGGAAGAAGCAGCAGCUAUUAGAAGGGGAAGGCGAAAGGGAUCACGGACGAUCGUUUGAUGUCGAUAUGUUAGGAAAGUGGAAAUUGUCGAGCGUCUCGUUUCUUCUCAGAGAUUUGCGUUCAACUGGAGAUGUGUUCUUUAAUUUGCUGCCUCAUCUUCUUCGGCCGUGGUGUCAGCAAAAUCAACAAGGGUCAUCGAUGAAGGCCUUCACAGAUUCGGCGUCAGAGGCAUUGUAGCCAAGCCUACCUCGUCAUCAGGAUGCAUGCAGGUUAAGGCAAAUGCCCAAGCACUUCCUAAGGUCAAUGGUUCAAAGGUCGGUCUGGACGCUGAAUACCAAAUAGUUGAGAUAGAAGGUCCCUCAGCCCCGAGGACCUCCUACAACCAAUUGUCAGACUGAAGCUCUCUUUUUGCUGCCAUAGCUACUAUCUUCUUGGCAGCAGAGAAGCAGUUUGCACUAAUUGACUGGAAGGCCAGGAUGCAGGACAUGCUUGCUGAUUCAUUUUGGCUCAGGAAGAUCAUGCUGGAUGGAAUGGUUUUCAGGCAGAAUUUCUCCAUUAGGUCAUAUGAAAUUGGACAGAUCAAACAGCUUCCAUAGACAUUAAUGAACCAUCAACACUUUGGCUGUAGAUUAUUGCUUGCUUCAUUUAUGUUUUUAUUUUUGAAUUUUGUUUUUCUAACUCCAUUUGAUAUAUGCACUAAUUAGGAAACUGUUCUUAACCAUGCAAGGAGUACUGGGCUCAUGGCUGACUUUGGUUCAGCUCCUGAAAUGAGUAAGAGAAAUUUGAUUUGAGUUGUUACGAAGGUGCAAGUCCUUCCCUCCUGGGAAAGAUGUUGUUCAAGUAGAUACAUGAGUAGCUUCAUUUGGGAAAAAUGGGAUGCGUCCACAUUGGUAUAAUUGUGACUACCAAACUGUUCUGAGAGUGACUAGUUGUGUGGGUGAUGAUGAACAAGAAGAGUAGGAGAUUGCCAAAAAUUCCAGAGGAGGUCAGAACAGACAUAGGAUGCUAUUUUGUGGACCACAACCCUAUCAUAGAUGACGAUGGCAUGACAGAAUUGUUGAAACUGGAGGAUUACACUGCUGAUUACAUUCAAACAGGGUUUACUGUAAUUUCGUUGGAAUGGUUUAGAUGUUGACAACCAACAUGUUAACAAUGCCAAAUACAUCGGAUCGAUUCUUGAGGUUAUUUGUUUCAUUGACAUCAGGAAACCACAAGUAUGAUAUUCAUUUAUUUGCUGGUCGGGGCACAUGGUGUUGGGCCUAUGAAAUAGCGCUGUAGCACCACAUGCUACAUUUUUUUAUUAUUAUCUUCUGUCUCUCAAUUUGAGCACAUUAUGGGCCCUCAUUUCUGUAUCAUUAGCAGCAAAUCUAUUUGGAUGAUCCUCUAUAUUCGCUGAAUAUUCAUCCUGUUGCUUCGAGAUAAUGUUUCCGGUGCCUGCCAAUCAAAUCAUCUGCAUUUAUUGUGGAUGCACGUUUAUA